AAAGGAUCUCAAGGAUUAAAUGCAGGUUUGCAGAACACUUCUCAUUCAGUCUUCAUUUUCUAAUGUUUCCUUUCCCCUAAGAACUUCUGUAAUGCCUGACAUCCUUUUUAUAUCACAGACUCUAAUGAUGCCCCUGAUGACAGUAGUGUGGAGGAUGUUUGGGAAACUAAUUUCCAUUUUAUAGCAAGCAAGCAAGCAAGAUGAAGAGGAAAAACUGAUGUCUCGGUCCUAGUGGAAGAAUUAUGUUGCUUCUUGUACCAGAAGAUUGCUCUUAGCCUUCAGAGAGCUCCAAGCUAGCCUUUAGUGGGCUGACAGAUCCACACAGUGACAUGCAGCUACAUACAGGGACACAGAUGGGUCUGCAGGACAGCAAGGUCAGUGCAGCCCUGCCUCUCAUCUCAUGCAGAGCCCUACAUUGCUGCGGUUGUGCUAUGUCCUCUUCUGGAGCAGGCUGACUUCCAGUUAUUCCUAGAGUCCCUCCACUGCUGCCUUAUUAGACAGCCUCCGCAUCUUGUAACUUUAUGCAGCAUCUAAACACAAUGAUCUCUGCAGCUUUGCUAAGGCUUCCAAUAAGGUAAAUAAAGACCUGUCAUAUCGCAUUA